CACACACCUUUUAGACUGAGCAUCUGAGCACAAGACUAAAAAAUGAGAGCUGCCGUGUGUGCCUUCCUUCUCUUGCUGACUCUAUAUCAAGAGUAGCCUCUGCUACCCUACCCGCACCCAAACCUGUUCAGGUUCAGCUAACGCCUGUGCUGCCGUCA